rnacentral:misc_RNA from 1 species
GAAAUGCGAUAAGUAGUGUGAAUUGCAGAAUUCAGUGAAUCAUCGAAUCUUUGAACGCAACUUGCGCUCCUUGGUAUUCCUUGGAGCAUGCCUGUUUGAGUAUCAUGAAAUCUUCAAAGUAAAUCUUUUGUUAACUCAAUUGGUUUCUACUUUGGUAUUGGAGGUCUUUGCAGCUUCACACCUGCUCCUCUUUGUUCAUUAGCUGGAUCUCAGUGUUAUGCUUGGUUCCACUCGGCGUGAUAAGUUAUCUAUCGCUGAGGACACUGUAAAAGGUGGCCAAGGUAAAUGCAGAUGAACCGCUUCUAAUAGUCCAUUGACUUGGACAAUACUUUUAUGAUCUGAUCUCAAAUCAGGUAGGACUACCCGCUGAACUUAAGC